CUGAAAUCUUGUGACCAAGGGGGAGGGGGUCCCCUCUACAUCAUGCAGUGCCCCCCCAAUUGAAAUUAAAGUAAGGUGCACCGAGUCUCCCUUCACAAGCUGCAGCAGCAGUGCUGUCAGUUCCCACACUUGCCUGAUGGGCCCUCCGGACCGGUGGCAGUGCACAGAGGGGACACUGUGCUGGGAGGAACUUCCUGCUUGAUCACACAGAGCAGCGCAGGGGAGAGACAGCUGCAUCCAGGCAGCUGCUGGUAAGUGUG